AAGACCGGAGCAAAGUUAUGUUGCUGUAACGUAGAACUCUGUGCAACCAGUGUGGAGAAUAAAUCCUCGGACCAAAUCAAGUUGCCAUUCAUUUGCUCAUCAACUGCAGACGGAAGGGAAAGGGAGUAAACCCCGGAGUUUAGAAUAUAGAACACUUCAGCCCUGGAGCAGUAAACAAAAAGUCUCCCCUGUAAUCUCCGACUAUGGUCAGGGACAGAGCAGGAAAGGUUAACAACAGGCUAAUUAAUACAAUACUGAUGGAUUUGAUUUGAUUAUAAUUUGGUAACUACAAGCCAUGAGCGCAUCUGUAGUGGUUAAUAAUAAAACUAUGAAUUAUAGACAGGACAAAUAACGCAUUAAACCUUCAGCCACUAGAUAACCGUCUCUCUCUGGGCCAGCAAAUUGCCCCUCCCCUUGAGUGUUUACAGGAAAUGAGUGGGUGUUUCCUCUCACACUGAAAUGUUCUGUGAGGGUUUGAUACACGUCCUGAACCUCGGCGUCUAGAACACUGGAAACUGAAUGUCUCCUGUGCCACUGGCUGCUGGAAACCCCCAAAACAGAAUGUUUUGAACAUGAGGUCCAUGUUUGAACCUCCUACCUUCAGCAGUGGAGCAGCACAGUCUAAACCUCAAUCAAAGGCACACAGACCCCCAUCUCCAGUUCCCAGCUGUGUUUCAAUGAAGAGUGAUGGGUCCAUGUUUGAACCUCCUACCUUCAGCAGUGGAGCAGCACAGUCUAAACCUCAGUGAGUCUUUGUCUUUCAGAUUAGUGCAGGAUUUGUGUAACUCAGAGGAGUUGAAUUUAGUGUUUUUGGGUUGUCGGUUGUUGUUGUUGUUUUGUUGUGAUUUGAGUGAGUCAUCUGUCUGUAUGUGGCAGAGACCAUUGUGCCCACACUCAACUCAUCCAAGUUUCAACAUGUUCCUACACAAGAAGAGUUCCCUCCCUGUGUCAACCAAGUUUGAUUUCCCUUCGUGCUCAGCAUCUGAUUGAGAUGUAUUUUCACACAAUAUCCAUUACAACAAUUUGAAAUGGUUCCCAUUUUGAGGUUCCCAGC
ensembl:lncRNA